AUGAACGCUAGCGACAGGCCUAACACAUGCAAGUCGAGGGGCAGCACAAGGAGCAAUCUGAGGUGGCGACCGGCGCACGGGUGAGUAACACGUAUGCAACCUGCCUGUAAGCGGGGAAUAACCCGUUGAAAGACGGACUAAUACCGCAUAAUACUAAUUACUGCAUGGUAAUUUAUUUAAACAUUUAUGGCUUACAGAUGGGCAUGCGCAUGAUUAGCUAGUUGGAGAGGUAACGGCUCCCCAAGGCAACGAUCAUUAGGGGUUCUGAGAGGAAGGUCCCCCACACUGGUACUGAGACACGGACCAGACUCCUACGGGAGGCAGCAGUGAGGAAUAUUGGUCAAUGGACGAGAGUCUGAACCAGCCAAGUCGCGUGCAGGAAGAAUGUCCUAUUGGAUUGUAAACUGCUUUUGCAGGGGGAAUAAAGUGCAUCACGUGUGAUGUUUUGUAUGUACUCUGCGAAUAAGGAUCGGCUAACUCCGUGCCAGCAGCAGC
rnacentral:rRNA from 1 species